UACGUAUGGAGCAAGCGUUAUCCGGAUUUACUGGGCGUAAAGGGAGCGUAGGCGGCCUGCCAAGUCUGAUGUGAAAUACCGGGGCUCAACCCCGGGACUGCAUUUGGAACUGUGCUGCUAGAGUGUCGGAGAGGCAGGCGGAAUUCCUAGUGUAGCGGUGAAAUGCGUAGAUAUUAGGAGGAACACCAGUGGCGAAGGCGGCCUGCUGGACGAUGACUGACGUUGAGGCACGAAAGCGUGGGGAGCAAACAGG
rnacentral:rRNA from 1 species